rnacentral:rRNA from 1 species
GGAUGCGAUUAUACCAACAUUAAUGCACCGGAUCCCAUCAGAAAUCUGCAGUUAAGCGUGCUUUGGCGAGAGUUGUACUAGGAUGGGUGACCUACAGGAAAGUCCUCGUGUUGCAUUCC